UACGUAGGAUGCAAGCGUUGUCCGGAAUUAUUGGGCGUAAAGAGCGCGCAGGCGGUAUGACAAGUCAGAUGUGAAAGAGGCCGGCUUAACCGGCAAGGGUCAUUUGAAACUGUCAGACUAGAGUGCAGCAGAGGAUAGUGGAAUUCCCGGUGUAGUGGUGAAAUGCGUAGAUAUCGGGAGGAAUACCAGUGGCGAAGGCGACUAUCUGGGCUGCAACUGACGCUGAGGCGCGAAGGCUAGGGUAGCAAACAGG
rnacentral:rRNA from 1 species